GGGCGAUUAGCUCAGCUGGAUAGAGCGUUGGCCUCCGGAGCCAAAGGCCACAGGUUCGAAUCCUGUAUCGCCCGCCA
rnacentral:tRNA from 1 species